CGUCAGUCUUUGUCCAGGGGGCCGCCUUCGCCACCGGUAUUCCUCCAGAUCUCUACGCAUUUCACCGCUACACCUGGAAUUCUACCCCCCUCUACAAGACUCUAGCCUGCCAGUUUCGAAUGCAGUUCCCAGGUUGAGCCCGGGGAUUUCACAUCCGACUUGACAGACCGCCUGCGUGCGCUUUACGCCCAGUAAUUCCGAUUAACGCUUGCACCCUCCGUAUUACCGCGGCUGCUGGCACGGAGUUAGCCGGUGCUUCUUCUGCGGGUAACGUCAAUUGCUGAGGUUAUUAACCUCAACACCUUCCUCCCCGCUGAAAGUACUUUACAACCCGAAGGCCUUCUUCAUACACGCGGCAUGGCUGCAUCAGGCUUGCGCCCAUUGUGCAAUAUUCCCCACUGCUGCCUCCCGUAGGAGUCUGGACCGUGUCUCAGUUCCAGUGUGGCUGGUCAUCCUCUCAGAUCAGCUAGGGAUCGUCGCCUAGGUGAGCCGUUACCCCACCUACUAGCUAAUCCCAUCUGGGCACAUCUGAUGGCAAGAGGCCCGAAGGUCCCCCUCUUUGGUCUUGCGACGUUAUGCGGUAUUAGCUACCGUUUCCAGUAGUUAUCCCCCUCCAUCAGGCAGUUUCCCAGACAUUACUCACCCGUCCGCCGCUCGCC
rnacentral:rRNA from 1 species